ACUUGAAUAGUCAAGUGGUUAAGAUGCCUUGAAAUCAUGUGUUCAGCUCCAGUGACAGAUGAUUGCAAGGAGGCGGGGGUUCGAAUCCCCCUUCAAGUG